rnacentral:rRNA from 1 species
GGCCUAACACAUGCAAGUCGAGCGGUAACAGAUUGAUAGCUUGCUAUCAAUGCUGACGAGCGGCGGACGGGUGAGUAAUGCCUGGGAAUAUGCCCUGAUGUGGGGGAUAACUAUUGGAAACGAUAGCUAAUACCGCAUAAUCUCUUCGGAGCAAAGAGGGGGACCUUCGGGCCUCUCGCGUCAGGAUUAGCCCAGGUGGGAUUAGCUUGUUGGUGGGGUAAUGGCUCACCAAGGCAACGAUCCCUAGCUGGUCUGAGAGGAUGAUCAGCCACACUGGAACUGAGACACGGUCCAGACUCCUACGGGAGGCAGCAGUGGGGAAUAUUGCACAAUGGGGGAAACCCUGAUGCAGCCAUGCCGCGUGUAUGAAGAAGGCCUUCGGGUUGUAAAGUACUUUCAGUUGUGAGGAAGGCAGUAAAGUUAAUAGCUUUACUGUUUGACGUUAGCAAACAGAAGAAGCACCGGCUAACUCCGUGCCAGCAGCCGCGGUAAUACGGAGGGUGCGGAGCGUUAAUCGGAAUUACUGGGGCGUAAAGCGCAUGCAGGUGG